rnacentral:lncRNA from 1 species
UCAACUUCAAGAAACCAGGAAAGAAUAAAAAAACACAACAAUCUUGUGAAAUGAUAUGUGUGUGGCAAAGCUAGAUACAAAGCAUAUCAACGCUCUGACCACCAAAAAAAAAACAAACCACAAGAAAAUCUAGUUGAAAAUCCAAAUAAGGUGAUAGAUGUUGUAGUUUUUGAAGUAAACCUGGUCGAGAAUAAUGUCGAGUGGAUUGUAGACACAAGCGCCUUCAAACAUUUCUGCGCUAACAGAAAAAUGUUCACUGAGUUUGAAAGUGUAGCUGAAGGUGAACAAGUCUACAUAGGUAACUCUAGUAACUCAGAAGUACUCAGUAAAGGAAAGAUUUUUCUCAAACUUACUUCUAGAAUAAUGUCCUUUAUGUACCUGCCCUAUGUAGGAAUUUAAUUAGUUGUGGAUUAUUGCAUAAGGCAGUCAUUAAACUAGUCUUUGAAUUCGAUAAACUUAUACUUUCC